GGGCGGAGACUACUAUCAAACUGAAUCUGAAAUUGCCUCUGUACUUGCAGAAGGGAAGGUCCCAAUUAAAUAUCAAGGAGAAAAGAACAGUGAGAAAUCUCCUGGAUGAGCAGUACAUGUUCAAGGGAUAAAAUACAUACUUGAAACUUCAUGAUAUAUGUAGUGUUCAUAUUUUAUAUGCUUCACUCAAUUCUUUAUAUUGCUGCUAUUGUUUGCAGUCCACUGCGCGCUUCUAAUUCCCCGCGCUCUAUUCCACUCCUCGAUGUCUCUGAGUCUCGCGUACAUCUUUCGAAUCUUAUUAAGCUUUUGAGACUGAUCAGCUAUGAUGGCAGCUGUUACGGGGUUCUCACUGAAGAUUACCUCAUAGCCAUCUCGGAAUGAGUCCAUUCCUUUGGUGAAAAGUUGCCAGAACAUGCCACCAGCAGCUGCACCUCCGCCCCUAGCCGAUGAAUAAAUCGCUGAGUAGAUUGUAUUGAACAGCUGGUC
rnacentral:misc_RNA from 1 species